CUGACGAUCCACUAUGCAUAUAACCGCGCUGUCACCAUCAUCGUAAAACAUUCUUCAUCUCCCAAUCCGAUACAUGGAAACCCCAAAAGAGAAUAAUUUCAACUAAAUCAAUCAGAUCACAGAGUACUGUCUCUCUGGAACAAAGACACAUUGUUAUUGAUUUUUUUCUUGGGGAGGUGGGGAGGGCUCUUGGGAGGGUUUGGGUCACUGUUUUUAUCCUUUGUGGGAGAUCUGCCGACGUGCCCUUGAGCAGGGCGUUGACCCUGGACGCUUCUGUGUGUCGCUCUGAACGGGAGUCUGUUGGAUAACUGGUGUAGUGUAGGUCUGUUGGAUAACUGGUGGUGUAGGUCUGUUGGAUAACUGGUGUAGUGUAGGUCUGUUGGAUAACUG
ensembl:lncRNA